AGAGUUUGAUCAUGGCUCAGAUUGAACGCUGGCGGCAUGCUUUACACAUGCAAGUCGAGCGGCAGCGCGGGGGCAACCCUGGCGGCGAGCGGCGAACGGGUGAGUAAUGCAUCGGAACGUACCCUGGAGUGGGGGAUAACGCCGCGAAAGCGGCGCUAAUACCGCAUAUGCUCUGAGGAGGAAAGUGGGGACCGCAAGGCCUCACGCUCUGGGAGCGGCCGAUGUCCGAUUAGCUAGUUGGUGGGGUAAAGGCUUACCAAGGCGACGAUCGGUAGCUGGUCUGAGAGGAUGAUCAGCCACACUGGGACUGAGACACGGCCCAGACUCCUACGGGAGGCAGCAGUGGGGAAUUUUGGACAAUGGGGCAACCCUGAUCCAGCCAUGCCGCGUGAGUGAAGAAGGCCUUCGGGUUGUAAAGCUCUUUUGGUCGGGAAGAAAGCGCCUUGCCUAAUACGCGAGGUGGUUGACGGUACCGGCAGAAUAAGCACCGGCUAACUACGUG
rnacentral:rRNA from 1 species